GAUGAACGCUGGCGGCGUGCCUAAUACAUGCAAGUCGAGCGAACAGACGAGGAGCUUGCUCCUCUGACGUUAGCGGCGGACGGGUGAGUAACACGUGGAUAACCUACCUAUAAGACUGGGAUAACUUCGGGAAACCGGAGCUAAUACCGGAUAAUAUAUUGAACCGCAUGGUUCAAUAGUGAAAGACGGUUUUGCUGUCACUUAUAGAUGGAUCCGCGCCGCAUUAGCUAGGUGGUAAGGUAACGGCUUACCAAGGCAACGAUGCGUAGCCGACCUGAGAGGGUGAUCGGCCACACUGGAACUGAGACACGGUCCAGACUCCUACGGGAGGCAGCAGUAGGGAAUCUUACGCAAUGGGCGAAAGCCUGACGGAGCAACGUCGCGUGAGUGAUGAAGGUCUUCGGAUCGUAAAACUCUGUUAUUAGGGAAGAACAAAUGUGUAAGUAACUAUGCACGUCUUGACGGUACCUAAUCAGAAAGCCACGGCUAACUACGUG
rnacentral:rRNA from 1 species